rnacentral:tRNA from 1 species
AGGAAUUUAGGCUAAUAGAGACCAAGGGCCUUCAAAGCCCUAAGUAAGUACCUGUACUUAAUUCCUG